GGAGAGGUACCGAAGUGGUCGUAACGGGGUCGACUCGAAAUCGACUUGGGGGUCAAAAGCUCUCACGUGGGUUCGAAUCCCACCCUCUCCGCCA
rnacentral:tRNA from 1 species